rnacentral:SRP_RNA from 1 species
GCCGGGUGCGGUGGCGCGCGCCUGUAAUCCAAGCUACCGGGAGGCUGAGGCUGGCGGAUCGUUUGAGCUCAGGAGCUCUGAGCUGCAGCGGACUAUGCCGAUCGRGUGUCCGCRCUAAGUUCGGYAUCGAUAUGGUGCUCCUGGGGGAGCCCGGGAYCACCAGGUCGCCUAAGGAGGGGUGCACCGGCCCAGGUCGGRAACGGAGCAGGUCAAAGCCCCCGUGCCGCUCAGUAGUGGGAUCGCGCCUGUGAAUAGACGCUGCAGUGCAGCCUGAGCAACACAGCGAGACCCAGUCUUUU